ACCACUAGCCCCCACUCCCCUCCCAGAGCCAGGGCGAGAACCCAGGAGUCCGGCCCCUCCCCCGCUCUAACCACUAGUCCCCACUCCCCUCCCAGAGCUGGACAUGCAAGGAGCCCAGCCCUUUCCACUUUCAGAAUGAAGUCCCAGCUCUAGCUUUUUGUCCUGCUUUCCACACUAACAGUGAUCAGCGGGCAAGGCCGGGAACAUGUCCAUUGCUUGGGCAGGAUAAUUAAUAGGGCUCAACAACCCCUUAGUGGAAAAGCCCUAGAGAAUGGAAUAGAAAAUUAUCACCUACCUUUGUUUUUAAUCUGUCCUAUAAAACGUAAUUGAGGAUUAGAUCCCUGCAGUGGGAUGGCCUGCGAACCCAACUGUCCUUCUGGGUCACCGAGCUCCCUGCUGCUUCCUAAGCUGGGGAUCGUUUCAGAGCAAGGUCACUCGUGGCUUAGCUCUAAUCAGGGCUCAUCAUCGCUCAGCUGCCGCGGACUUAACGACGUUGCAGAUGGUCGGACCAAGAUCUGGCGUAGCAGACAGGAGCAGCAAGGACAGCAGCACUCAAUGGGAUGAGGAGCAGUCUUCUUGCUUCCUACAAAGCUUGGGCAAAUCCAGCUGGGUUUAAAGCAGAUUCCACUGUAUUGUGGUAUUAAAGAAUGGCAGAAACAGGGUCGCUGGAAUGUAUCUGAUCUGUACCAAGCUAUGGGAUGUCAGAGAACUCGAUUGUGGCUUUAGAAGAAUGCUGUCCCAAGUGUGCCCCUUAGCGUGGGAUUCUGGAGUUUACGUGGGAGUAGUUCAGUUGAAACCAGAGCUUUUGCAAACGCUGAAUAAAGAUAAAGAACUGCCUGCAAGCAAAGAACAAAGAGCGGAGUAGUAACAGAAAUAACCAGUUACAUCAGUUGAGAGAGAAGACUGCAAACAAGAGUAAUGAGAUGUAGCAAGUGGACAAAUCAGUAACUGUAUUUAGUCUCAAAAGGACAGAAGUGAAUAGUGUUCUGUAUCUUUUGAAUCUCACCUGUGGUAUAUUGACAAGCAGGCUGGUAUUGGGAACAUUGGCAA